GCCUGGGUGGCUCAGUCGGUUGAGCGUCCGACUUCAGCUCGGGUCACGAUCUCGCGGUGGGUGGGUUCGAGCCCCGCAUCAGACU
rnacentral:tRNA from 1 species